GCACUCGUGGCGGAAUGGUAGACGCGCUAGACUUAGGAUCUAGUUUCAUUGUGGAGUGGGGGUUCAAGUCCUUCGAGUGCACCA
rnacentral:tRNA from 1 species